UUUGAUCUUGGUUCAGGAUGAACGCUAGCGGCAGGCUUAACACAUGCAAGUCGAGGGGCAUCGGGAGUAGCAAUACUUGCCGGCGACCGGCGCAAGGGUGCGUAACGCGUGAGCAACAUGCCCGUAUCAGGGGGAUAAUCCAUGGAAACGUGGUCUAAUACCCCAUAGUAAUUAUGUAAGGCAUCUUAUAUAAUUUAAAGCUUUGGUGGAUACGGAUUGGCUCGCGUGACAUUAGCCAGAUGGUAAGGUAACGGCUUACCAUGGCUACGAUGUCUAGGGGUUCUGAGAGGAAGGUCCCCCACACUGGAACUGAGACACGGUCCAGACUCCUACGGGAGGCAGCAGUGAGGAAUAUUGGACAAUGGAUGGAAAUCUGAUCCAGCCAUGCCGCGUGCAAGGAAGACGGCCCUAUGGGUUGUAAACUGCUUUUGUAUGGGAGCAAUAAGGGCUACGUGUAGUCCGAUGAGAGUACCAUACGAAUAAGCACCGGCUAACUCCGUGCCAGCCGCCGC
rnacentral:rRNA from 1 species